rnacentral:rRNA from 1 species
GACGAACGCUGGCGGCGUGCUUAACACAUGCAAGUCGAACGGACAGGCCCUGCUUUUGUGGGGUGCUCGAGUGGCGAACGGGUGAGUAACACGUGAGUAACCUGCCCCUGACUUUGGGAUAACUUCAGGAAACUGGGGCUAAUACCGGAUAGGAGCUCCUGCUGCAUGGUGGGGGUUGGAAAGUUUCGGCGGUUGGGGAUGGACUCGCGGCUUAUCAGCUUGUUGGUGGGGUAGUGGCUUACCAAGGCUUUGACGGGUAGCCGGCCUGAGAGGGUGACCGACCACAGUGGGACUGAGAUACGGCCCAGACUCCUACGGGAGGCAGCAGUGGGGAAUAUUGCACAAUGGGCGGAAGCCUGAUGCAGCAACGCCGCGUGCGGGAUGACGGCCUUCGGGUUGUAAACCGCUUUCGCCUGUGACGAAGCGUGAGUGACGGUAAUGGGUAAAGAAGCACCGGCUAACUACGUG